rnacentral:lncRNA from 1 species
AGUGAAGCCACCAGUGUCUUCCACAGGUUUGUCCCUUCAAAAGUCAGGAGAGCUCAAUGCAGUUAUGAAAAUGAAAACUCUGUGUCCUAUGAAUUCCAAGGAGGGAUCCUACCUUCAAUUCCAUCAUCGCCCAUUCACAAUGUCACCAAGGAGACAAGCUAGAAGGCAGCCCUGUCUAACUGGGCCAUAUCUGAAUCAGCACAAUGCCUAUUUGGUAGAGUUGUGUAUGUUCCUCGCCAAAUUGCUGGGAAGGAAGGAAUCUGCAAUAUAACAGAAAAAAGGACUUCCAGAUGGACAACAAAAUUCAUGAACAACUAAUGAAUCAACAAGAAGAUAUCUAAGAUGGGAGUGGAGAGAUGAAUCACUUUCUUCCAGCAACUGCUUUUCACCAUUGACUACAAAGAAAGUCUGGAAUCACAGUGUAAAUUCGAUGUCUAACACUGAUAAAAUUAAAUGAGUCCUACCCUAAAUAUCUACCACCCCAUAAGUUCUUUUCAUUGUUGUUAAUGGUUGAUUUCACUUUUAGCUCUUAUAUACUUGCAAAUUGCUCUUGCUCUCUGCUUUUCUAUACAUCAGGGGAAUAUUUAUACAGAGUAAAUAAAUAUUUUCCAAAUUACA